rnacentral:misc_RNA from 1 species
AAGUCGUAACAAGGUUUCCGUAGGUGAACCUGCGGAAGGAUCAUUAACACGUAUCCAACGUUAAACCCCCCGUGAACCUUCAUUGUGCUCCCCCAUUCCGUUAGGACGCGGCAAUCCUGGUAAAUCAUCGCCGAACAGUUUUGAUCGCUAGAGGCCGACACGGCCGGCGACCGGGUCACUGGGCUCACGCCCCCCUAUCACCUUUGCAUGAAAACGGGCCUGCGCUUAAUUGUGCGGCCACCAAACUCGAACAACUGUUAACAAUGGAUAUCUUGGUUCUC